UACGGAGGGGGCUAGCGUUGUUCGGAAUUACUGGGCGUAAAGCGUCACGUAGGUGGUUUGUUAAGUCAGCUGUCGAAAUCCCCGGGCUCAACCUGGGCACUGCAGUUGAAACUGGCAAGCUAGAGUAGGGUAGAGGGGUGUGGAAUUCCAGGUGUAGCGGUGAAAAUGCGUAGAUAUCUGGAGGAACAUCAGUGGCGAAGGCGACACCCUGGACUCAUACUGACACUGAGGUGCGAAAGCGUGGGGAGCAAACAGG
rnacentral:rRNA from 1 species